CAGCCGCCGCGGGAAUACGUAGGGUGCGAGCGUUAAUCGGAAUUACUGGGCGUAAAGCGCGCGUAGGCGGUUUUUUAAGUCUGAUGUGAAAGCCCACGGCUCAACCGUGGAGGGUCAUUGGAAACUGGAAAACUUGAGUGCAGAGGAGGAAAGUGGAAUUCCAUGUGUAGCGGUGAAAUGCGCAGAGAUAUGGAGGAACACCAGUGGCGAAGGCGACUUUCUGGUCUGUAACUGACGCUGAUGUGCGAAAGCGUGGGGAUCAAACAGGAUUAGAUACCCCUGUAGUCCCUGUCUCUUAUAA
rnacentral:rRNA from 1 species